CUCAGGAUAGCUGGAACUUUUAUAAAAUAGUUUUAUCAGGUAAAGCGAAUGAUUAGAAGCUCUGGGGAUGAAACAUCCUCGACUUAUUCUCAAACUUUAAAUAGGUAAGAAGACUGCAGUACUUAAUUGACUGUCAGUCUCUUGAAUAGUAAGUUCUUAGUGGGCCAUUUUUGGUAAGCAGAACUGGCGAUGUGGGAUGAACCAAACGUAAAGUUAAAGUGCCUAAAAAUACGUUCAUCAGAUACCACAAAAGGUGUUGAUUCAUCUUGACAGUUGGACAGUGGCCAUGGAAGUCGGAAUCUGCUAAGGAGUGUGUAACAACUCACCAACCGAAUGAAUUAGCCCUGAAAAUGGAUGGCGCUUAAACGUAUUACUUAUACUUUACCAUUAAAAUAAAUGCUAAUUUAAUGAGUAGGAGGGCGUAUGGAUAAUUUAGAAGACUGACAGUAAUGUUGGUUGGAAUUAUCUUUAGUGCAGAUCUUGGUGGUAGUAGCAAAUAUUCAAUAGAGAACAUUGAAGACUGUAGU
rnacentral:rRNA from 1 species